GUCGGAAAGACUCCUACUUGAAGGAUGGAAAAGUGGGUACCUUGGAAGCCAUGCGGUUAUAAGCCGUUACCCUGAACGUUCCUCUCUUCUUCCGGGGUCCAACGGGUCUCGCACACUUUUAGGCUCCAAGCAGCGUCCUCCACGGCCUCAAGCUCUUGCAUCUCUUCGACAGGUAAGCGUUCAAACUCUUACAGAGACAGAGGUUUGAUGACAAGGAGGAAAUGCGAAGAGAUCAGCAGUUUAGAAAGGAGAAAUAUUUCAUACGAAA